GAGGGUAUAGCCCAGUGGUAGAGCACAUGCUUAGAAUACAAGAGGUUCUGGGUUCAAUCCCCAGUACCUCUA
rnacentral:tRNA from 1 species